UACGUAGGAUGCAAGCGUUGUCCGGAUUUACUGGGCGUAAAGCGCGCGCAGGCGGCACUCUAAGUACGUCGUGAAAUAUCCCGGCUCAACCGGGAGGGUGCGAUGUAGACUAGGGAGCUAGAGGUCGGUAGAGGGGGGGUGGAAUUGCUGGUGUAGCGGUGAAAUGCGCAGAUAUCAGGAGGAACACCGGUGGCGAAGGCGGGUCUCUGGGCCGAUACUGACGUGAGGAGCGAAAGCGUGGGGGAGCGAACAGG
rnacentral:rRNA from 1 species